rnacentral:rRNA from 1 species
UACGUAGGGUGCAAGCGUUGUCCGGAAUCAUUGGGCGUAAAGCGCGCGUAGGUGGCUUCGUAAGUCCGUUGUGAAAGUCAAAGGCUCAACCUUUGAAUGCCGAUGGAUACUGCGGAGCUAGAGUACGGAAGAGGCGAGUGGAAUUCCUGGUGUAGCGGUGGAAUGCGCAGAUAUCAGGAGGAACACCGAUGGCGAAGGCAGGUCUCUGGGCCACUACUGACGCUGAGAAGCGAAAGCAUGGGGAGCGAACAGG